AUAUUACCCUUCUGUUGCCAGCUGUUUAGUGCUUACACUGAUGGGCUCUUCUCUUUCAGGAGCAAACCAGUGGGGGAAUCCUGGAAACGAGUUUCAUGGCCUGGAUGGAUGAAACAUCCUCUCCUCUAUCACCUAAAGAUCACAGAGGCAGGUACUCACACAUAAAAGGCAUCCUAGAAAGCAUCUUUGUCAGCUCACACUGCAGACAUACUCCUCUCUUUUGUUUCUUUUGACAGGAAUCAACUCCUAGAAACAGCUCAAUCACCUAAAAAAGGGGAGGCAUCAGGUCCUGCAGCACCACUGGAAUCCCAGUGCUGGUUUCUCAGUCCUCUGAAAUGUGAAGACUUGAGGGACUGCUCUCCUCCAGCUCUGCAUUCACCUCCUCUGAGCUUUUCUGCUCCUCAGAAAGAUGCAAAACCUUCCUCCAAGGACUCAUCUUUUGGACUUUCUCCACACGGAAGCAAGCACGAUCAAGUGAGAACCAUUCAUAGUCUGUCCAAGGAACUUGCAGAAAAGAUUGACAUGGCAAGGGAGAGGCUGGGUGCAGCAAGCUGGGUUAAAGGCUCUGCUGACAAACAAUCAACAGACACAACUCUGGACCUCUACAGUGAGCCUCCUUCUGCCCGAGAACCUGAGACUUCCAGGGAUGAGCAAGACAGGACAAUGACUGUACAAAUGCUUCUGGACACCACAGAUCCUGAUGUGCUACAUGAGGCAUCCCAUAGGGAAUGUCAUGGACUGGGCAGGAUUGGCCUGGUGGGCAGCACUGAGGGAGCAACAGCCGUGGACAGACAGAAGGAAAUGCCAACUCCUUUGCCUGGUGGGAAUGCUGAGAGGGAAGAAUUGCCCUGGAUCACUCAUAGUGCAGGACAGAGGCACCUCAGCUCUGCAGGAGACCUGAGGAACACAUUGCAAGGUUUCCCUGUGCAUAAGGGCUCCAAGGUGGACGUAAGUCUGUGGCAUGAAAAGCCAAUAACCAGCCCAGCCUCUCCAGCUCACAGAUUCCCCGCUAGAAGGUAAACAAAGCCAGAUAUUUUAUUCUCUGCUAAAUGCGCCUCAUGCACAUGUAUUUAAAAUAAGGAGCACCAAUUCAGCUUGGAGCCAGACUCGGGGCAGUGGGUCUUCUAGGUUUCACUUCCCUCUCAUUGCAUCUGUGAAAUGACAUUUCAUAAUUUUAUCUGUG
rnacentral:lncRNA from 1 species